UACGAAGGGUGCAAGCGUUACUCGGAAUUACUGGGCGUAAAGCGUGCGUAGGUGGUUCGUUAAGUCUGUCGUGAAAGCCCCGGGCUCAACCUGGGAAUGGCGAUGGAUACUGGCGGGCUAGAGUGCGGUAGAGGAGAGUGGAAUUCCCGGUGUAGCAGUGAAAUGCGUAGAGAUCGGGGAGGAACAUCAGUUGCGAAGGCGGCUCUCUGGACCAGCACUGACACUGAGGCACGAAAGCGUGGGGAGCGAACAGG
rnacentral:rRNA from 1 species